rnacentral:rRNA from 1 species
CGGACGGGUGAGUAAUGUCUGGGAAACUGCCUGAUGGAGGGGGAUAACUACUGGAAACGGUAGCUAAUACCGCAUAACGUCGCAAGACCAAAGAGGGGGACCUUAGGGCCGCUUGCCAUCGGAUGUGCCCAGAUGGGAUUAGCUAGUAGGUGGGGUAACGGCUCACCUAGGCGACGAUCCCUAGCUGGUCUGAGAGGAUGACCAGCCACACUGGAACUGAGACACGGUCCAG